rnacentral:rRNA from 1 species
GGUGAUUUUGCUGACGGGGGUACACCUCUUCCCAUUCCGAACAGAGAAGUUAAGCCCGUCUAGGCCGAUGGUACUUGCGCCGCAAGGCGCCGGGAGAGUAGGACGUCGCCA